GAAAUGGCAGAGAAAGCAGAGAGAAGCUAUACUACAAGUCCUGAAGGUUCGCCAACUACAAAGGCACCAACGGCUUAUUCUCUUUUGAGAAAGGUGUUUGAUAAAAUUUUGGGUUUUGUCACUUCUUGGAGAAGGAACACAACUUCUCGAGGUAGAAGAAUUUUCCAUAGAGAUGUCGAAAAAGAUGAGUUCCAGUAUGCAAGCACUCAUUGUCUCUCAUCAUACUAC
rnacentral:misc_RNA from 1 species